CUAACAUUUCCGGUGCCCGGGCAGGAUGCCCUGAUUCCAAGGCUGGUUCGUAAACAAAGGGAGGCCUCACGUCUGCAGAUGGGAAUGUCAGGAGGAGCAUGCAAGUCUGUUUAUUUGGUACCAGAUACAAAUGCCAUCCUCGAAGGUUUCUGCUCUGCUAAGUAUUCAGAAUUCCUGUGCACACUAGAAACACGGGCGGCUUCGAAGCAAACAUACAUUUCCACUUACAGCAUGUCCUCAGUGCUGUCUGAGGCUCAUAGUUAUCCCGUGGCUUAGGUACAGACUCGAACGUAUCGACAAAUGGAAAACAAAAGGAUCGAAACUCAUUGGCAAAAUCUGACCUGCUCCAUCGAAUGCUGGGAAUAUUUAAAUAAAUACAUGAUCUCAAAUCCUUUGGGAAAGCGGUUUCGUGUGUUUGGCCUUUCCUCUCUCUGCCCCCGGACUACUGGUUUAUCUAAAUUCACCUAUAAUCCCGUCGUCUACUCCUCGCUGACCGACUGCAACGACUCCCCAUUAUGUUGAUGAAGAAAACGGUGGGAAGAUACAGGGGAAGGCUGUGGUAAAAACAAGAGUUCAGAAUCUGAGCGCGACCGUGCAGUUCCUUGUUGCUACCACUAGCUGGCGCGAGAGCUCUAAAGAUGUGAUGAUAUAGUGCAUCACCGCUUGUUAAUUAAUAAAACUGUUUUCAAGCUGCUAGUAGUUACCCGAUGAAAAGCAUGAAAAUGUUUGACCUAACGCAGCAGCAAAGAGGCAGACAU